rnacentral:rRNA from 1 species
UACGGAGGGUGCAAGCGUUGUUCGGAAUUAUUGGGCGUAAAGAGCGUGUAGGCGGCCUUGUAAGUCAGAUGUGAAAUACCUUGGCUCAACCAAGGAAGUGCAUUUGAAACUGCUUGGCUUGAGUACGGGAGGGGGAAGCGGAAUUCCCGGUGUAGAGGUGAAAUUCGUAGAUAUCGGGAGGAACACCGGUGGCGAAGGCGGCUUCCUGGACCGAUACUGACGCUGAGACGCGAAAGCGUGGGGAGCAAACAGG